CCGGCGUGGCGGACACGUCGCGACACAGCAGACGGACCACCAUCAGGCGGCCUGUCAUCCGAGCGCGGACGUCAUCCUCGCCACUCCACUGGAAGGUCGCUUGGGAUUUAAGACAAAAUAUAAAUGGAAAAGACCAAAGACAGGGAUACACGGAAAGAGAGGUGAGACAUGAUGUAGUUACAUAAAAAAUCCUUGCUAGAAUAUAACAAGAAACUAAAUAAUGCCUUGACUAAAUAAUGUGAGUAUCACAUUUUCCACAUUACACCUAGACUGUGGUACCGUGCGAACCUACCAUCGUGACGUAUGAACGGUAACGUAUUGUCGCUCGAUUGACAGACAACUUGUAUGCGUGUAAUGAACUGUAUUGUAGUCUAGGAGCGUAUGGAAUAAACAAAUGUUUUUAGAAUUCAAGCCUUACUCUAAAUGAAAUAAAAUAAUGAUGUUAAAAACGGCAUUAAGAUAGCAUAGGACAGAAACGGUCGGCGUAGAUUGUUAGUUCACAAGGUUGAUGUUCUUGUUAAAAUUG